GGAAGUAAAAGUCGUAACAAAGUUUCCGUAGGUGAACCUGCGGAAGGAUCAUUCAUAAUAAAGUGUUUUAUGGCACUUUUUAAAAAUCCAUAUCCACCUUGUGUGCAAUGUUAGAUCUCGUCAAUCUUGGCGAGAUUUUUAUACAUCAACUCAUUCUUUAUCUAAUUUGUCUGAAAAAUAUUAUGAAUACUUAAUUCAAAAUACAACUUUCAACAACGGAUCUCUUGGCUCUC
rnacentral:misc_RNA from 1 species